rnacentral:rRNA from 1 species
ACGACGCUGGCGGCGUGCCUAAUACAUGCAAGUCGAACGAACGGAUAAAGAGCUUGCUCUUUUGAAGUCAGUGGCGGACGGGUGAGUAACACGUGGGUAACCUGCCUCACAGCUGGGGAUAACAUCGAGAAAUCGAUGCUAAUACCGAAUGUGCUGAACAUCAUAAGAUGUUCAAGUGAAAGACGGUUUCGGCUGUCACUGUGAGAUGGACCCGCGCUGGAUUAGCUAGUUGGUAAGGUAAUGGCUUACCAAGGCGACGAUCCAUAGCCGACCUGAGAGGGUGAUCGGCCACAUUGGGACUGAGACACGGCCCAAACUCCUACGGGAGGCAGCAGUAGGGAAUCUUCGGCAAUGGACGAAAGUCUGACCGAGCAACGCCGCGUGAGCGAAGAAGGCCUUCGGGUCGUAAAGCUCUGUUGUUAGAGAAGAACAUGGGUGAGAGUAACUGUUCACCCCUUGACGGUAUCUAACCAGAAAGCCACGGCUAACUACGUG